rfam:Schistosoma mansoni strain Puerto Rico chromosome 1, complete genome
ACCUUGCUGACGAGUUCCGAAUAGCACGAAACUCGGGUCAAGGGU